rnacentral:rRNA from 1 species
UUAGAGUUUGAUCCUGGCUCAGGAUGAACGCUGGCGGCGUGCCUAAUACAUGCAAGUCGAACGAAUCUCUUUUAGAGAUGAGUGGCGAACGGGUGAGUAAUACAUAGGUAACCUGCCCCUGUGCGGGGGAUAACAGGAGGAAACUCCUGCUAAUACCGCAUAGCCAUGAGCACCGCAUGGAGCUCAUGCCAAAUAUCCUUUAUGGGAUAGCGCAGGGAUGGACCUAUGGCGCAUUAGCUGGUUGGCGGGGCAACGGCCCACCAAGGCAACGAUGCGUAGCCGGCCUGAGAGGGCGGACGGCCACAUUGGGACUGAGACACGGCCCAGACUCCUACGGGAGGCAGCAGUAGGGAAUUUUCGGCAAUGGGGGAAACCCUGACCGAGCAACGCCGCGUGAGCGAAGAAGGCCUUCGGGUCGUAAAGCUCUGUUGUAAAGGAAGAACGGCGCAUACAGGAAAUGGUAUGCGAGUGACGGUACUUUACCAGAAAGCCACGGCUAACUACGUGCCAGCAGCCGCGGUAAUACGUAGGUGGCGAGCGUUAUCCGGAAUCAUUGGGCGUAAAGAGGGAGCAGGCGGCCGCAAGGGUCUGUGGUGAAAGACCGAAGCUAAACUUCGGUAAGCCAUGGAAACCGGGCGGCUAGAGUGCGGAAGAGGAUCGUGGAAUUCCAUGUGUAGCGGUGAAAUGCGUAGAUAUAUGGAGGAACACCAGUGGCGAAGGCGACGGUCUGGGCCGCAACUGACGCUCAUUCCCGAAAGCGUGGGGAGCAAAUAGGAUUAGAUACCCUAGUAGUCCACGCCGUAAACGAUGGUCACUAAGUGUCGGGGGUCAAACCCCGGUGCUGCAGUCAACGCAAUAAGUGACCCGCCUGAGUAGUACGUUCGCAAGAAU